rfam:Acidobacteriales bacterium 13_1_40CM_3_55_5 13_1_40cm_3_scaffold_1811, whole genome shotgun sequence.
GGGUCCGUGGUGUAACGGGAGCACAUCAGCCUGUCCAGCUGGAAGGUACGGGUUCGAAUCCCGUCGGAUCCA